AAAGAAAUGAGUGCCAAAAGCAUCCCAAGGAAUACCUUUGUUUAUAACAUAUUAAUUGAUGGAUGGGCUCGACGAGGUGAUGUCUGGGAGGCUGCUGACCUGAUGCAACAAAUGAGGCAAGAAGGGGUUCAACCUGACAUCCAUACCUAUACUUCUUUCGUAAAUGCUUGUUGUAAAGCUGGAGACAUGCAGAAAGCGACAAACACAAUUCUAGAGAUGAAAAGGAUUGGGGUUAAACCUAAUGUUAAAACGUACACCACUCUCAUACACGGUUGGGCACGGGCUUCACUUCCUG
rnacentral:misc_RNA from 1 species